GUGGUGUGCCCAAGGCCCAGGGGACCAAGGCUAAGGCCAAGGUCUAUCAUUCAUGAGGGAUUCAUGGAGGCUCUAGGGCUAGUUGGGCCCUAGGUUGAAAGGCUGUGGGCCUUUCGGGUUCUUGAGGUCUAGGUUAUGUGGGCCUCAAGGGACCAACUCUUUAUGGGCCAAGUCUGGACCUAGGAUAGGUGAGAUUAGGUUGAGUCAUGGGUGUAC
rnacentral:lncRNA from 1 species